rnacentral:rRNA from 1 species
UACGGGGGGGGCAAGCGUUGUUCGGAAUUACUGGGCGUAAAGGGCUCGUAGGCGGCCAACUAAGUCAGACGUGAAAUCCCUCGGCUUAACCGGGGAACUGCGUCUGAUACUGGAUGGCUUGAGUUUGGGAGAGGGAUGCAGAAUUCCAGGUGUAGCGGUGAAAUGCGCAGAUAUCAGGAGGAACACCAAUUGCGAAGGCAGCUCGCUGGGACGUUACUGACGCUGAGACGCGAAAGCGUGGGGAGCAAACAGG